CUACCAGAGAAGGAGCAGGAUGUAUAGAAUCCAAAAGGAAAUCCUGUUUUAUCUAAUCAGACCAGAUUGCACUAGUUCAAUCCCACAAGCACAUAGAAGUGGUAAUCUUAUCUUUGCACUGAUAAGUUCACUAGGCCAUUGAGUGAUCAUUCAGCCAACCAGUUAGUCUGUAACCAAAUAUGGAAACCAUCACACUUGAGGAGCAACAAGCAUUGCUUAGAGGGCUUCUAGAAGCAAUCAACUGUCCAGUGUGCUUCAACAUUCUACAGCCGUUGUGUGUCAUCCAGUGUAUCAAUGGUCAUUGGAUGUGUAAAGACUGUAGAGUUAAACUAAGCCUGUGCCCAACAUGCCGUGGUAGCUUCAGCCCCUACAAUAACAACUCAUCACUGAACCAAGUCUUAGAACUAUUCCCACACAUGUGCAAAUUUGAAGGCUGUGAAGAAAUUGUAAGACCUAAUGAUGAUCAUGAGACGUGGUGCGGUUUUCGUCCAACGAAAUGCAAAAUUUGCCAGUGGACUGGUUAUGGUAAAGAUAUUUUGGAUCAUGUCAAACUGAAACAUUCAGAGAAAAUCAUUCUUGAUGAAAAAAAUGAAUGUAGACGUUUCGAUCGUUGUAAUGAUAAAUUCCAAAAUUGUGAUACCUAUAUGCCAAUUUUUGCUCAUGGUCAGUUUUUUUGGAUGUAUUCAGAAAAUAGUACAGAAAAAAUGUCAUUUGCAAAAAUAUUUACUUUAGUCCCAAAUGGAAAAAUUGAUUGUAGUUAUGAAAUGAAGUUUGUCUUGAGAAAUUCUAACAACGUAUAUGCUGUUUCCACUUUUUUGAAUGAUGAUACAGUUUUAAAUUUUAAUGGAAAUGACAACAAAUUCACUCUUCAUUUCUCAAUAUUAAGACAUUUUAGUUAUGAAGGAAAGUUAACAUAUGAUUUCUAUGUGAAUAAAUUAAAUCAGAAAUAAAUGAAUGCAUUCUAAUAAUUAA